CCUACGGGUGGCAGCAGUGAGGAAUAUUGGUCAAUGGACGAGAGUCUGAACCAGCCAAGUAGCGUGAAGGAUGACUGCCCUAUGGGUUGUAAACUUCUUUUAUCAAGGAAUAAAACGAGGACCGUUUGCCUUUUUGCAUGACCUUUAUGAAUAAGGAUCGGGAAACCCCGUCCAACCAGCCGAGUUAUUACGGAGGUGCCGAUGGUUUUCCGGAUUUAUUGGGUUUAAAGGGAGCGUAGCUGGGUUGUUAAGUCAGUUGUGAAAGUUGGCGGCUCAACCGUAAUAUUGCAAUUGAUACUGGCGUUCUUGAGUACAGUUGAGGUAGGCGGAAUUCGUGGUGUAGCGGUGAAAUGCUUAGAUAUCACGAAGAACCCCGAUUGCGAAGGCAGCUUACUGAUCUAUAACUGACAUUGAUGCUCGAAAGUGUGGGUAUCAAACAGGAUUAGAUACCCCUGUAGUC
rnacentral:rRNA from 1 species